rnacentral:lncRNA from 1 species
AUGUCGAGCAAAGCCAUAAUUUGGCAUGAAGCCAUGAACAUAAUUAAAAGUAAGAUUCUGGUGAAGACUCAACGAUUAGGUGGAGUCAAUAUUGGUUACAUCAUUGUUUGGAAGAUUUCUGGAAGAGAAACGGCAAAUAUUAGCCCAGUGAAAUGGAAGGAGCUUAUGUAACACAGACUCCACACUCAUAAAGGUGAAAUGACCCACUAAUGUGAAUGAUGUUGUUCUUCCAAGUUAACAUGAACAAGGAGUGGUCAGUUCUGGAAGGAAAAUCCUGAUAUUUCUGCUACUGUUGGAGAUUAAGAGGGCAGAUCAACAUUGUUACAUAAUCCAACGCGUUGACACACACGUUUCCUUAGACGUGUGCUGUUGAGCUUAUAAACACUUUUCCUCCUCUCUCUUUCCAAUGUGUUGGCUGGAUGAGCAAAUACCUUCUGACAGGUCACAUAGUUUUUAUACUAUUGUGGUGGGGAGGAGGGUUGGGCUUGAGUGUGUUAGAGCGCAAGCCACAGAGAGUGAUGCAUUUUGACAGCUGUGUGUGUGUGUUGGGCAAGUCUGCAGAUCUGGUUGGGUGAGACUGGGCUAUAUAAUAGGGCGGAGCAUAAAGCCGAAGCUUUCUCCGUAGUUCGAGUCACACUGUUGGGUACCCAAACUACCAGGUGCUCUUCGGUUGUCUGGACGCUAGAUGGUUGGAAUUUAGACUGGCCAGUUGGAGUAGCAGCUACAGGAUCUUUAACACAGAGCCUGUGGAAGGUGUGGAGGAUCCAACAGUUUUUUUGUUUUGUUUUACGACUGCAUUCCGGACCGCUUUUUUCCCAGGAGCAAGUCGGAAACCUGAAAUUUCUAGUCUCCAGACCAGAGCUGCAUCAACACACCACACAAAGAAACCAACCCCAGACCCACUACAGACAUGAUCAUCAGACUGGGCAGACUGACACCUGGAUACUUCCGCCUCCUACAGAGACAGGUGGCGGGUGAGGUGCAGACCCAGCCACAGGACCGCGUGGUCAACCAGAUAGCCAUGAUGCUGGCCAUCAUGGGCCUAAGCCUGUCCUACUACAGUGCCAAACGGAUGACCGAGAAGGUCCAGAGGCUCCAGAAGAGAAGAGAUCCCCAUACACCCUGAACCUGGAGAGAAGACGAACCAACGCAGAGAUGUUGCGGAGAGGAGACAUGGAGAUGUCGGUGUCCAGAACAACACCUUUUCACAACCAAUCAGUCAUAGUCACGUCGUUCACACACUGGAGUUUUACUGGGAUCACUCUCAAUGCGAGGAGAGUUCGGGGGCUGCUGCUUUUAAGGGUAUCUUGUUAAUUUUUCACACCAAUUUGGGGUGUGUGUGUGUGUGUGUGUGUGAAGAAAGGCCCACGGUGGGGUUCGUGUGGUCCUGAUAAGGUCGGGGGGGGGGGGGGGGGUAAAAAGUACUACCAGCUGUCUAUGGUAAGGCUGGGCCUGAGCUUUAGUUGUUAAGGUACAUGCGUGCAAGAUGCCAUCAAUACUGUUCUGCGCUAAAAAGGGAUAGAAAAAUGCCAAACGAAUUAUUCUAAUGUACUGUGAAACUUGCCAGUGCUCCAAGCAUAUGACUGUGUGUAAAAUAACUGAACAGUAAUAAUUUUUUAAGGGAAGGCUAUCUGCAUUUGAGAUGUAUCUGGUAAUGACUGAAGGCAGGCCCAUAGUGUGAGGAGAAAGCAACCCUCUUAGGUUUUUGUCAUUUCUUAUAGUUAAAUAAAAGUGAGCCAUGUGAAGUAGAUGUGGAGGAGGAGUCUCAAACUGGUCAAUAAUUCCACACAUGUUUAAUAUCUGUUAAUGUCAGACACAAAAAAAAAACAGUGAAAGUGAAAUGCAGUAUUUGAACGUUUUAGGAACUUGCUUAUCCAAAUCUAUGAAAAGGCACUUUAUCCAAAUAACAACUUUGUUUUUCCCACAAUGUUUCCAGUUUAAUCGAUUUGAGUCUUGAUAAAGAACGUUGGCUUUCUUUAAAGAACUCGAUCUGCAAUAGCUACUAGGUGUUACCACAGAAUAUUCUAACUUCAGUAAACGUUGUAUGGGUCUACAUAAAACUUAAGAUUUCAUUAAUACUGUCACUUUUAGUUUUUUAAAGAAUCAUAACAUGAAUGUAUAUUUCUGUGAUGUUUAGAAAAAUCAAAUAAAGCUGUGACUUGAAUGAUAAGAACAGGGGCAGUUUAGUAAUGAUUUUUAAGGUGUUUGGGAAUUCUGGAAAAACUGAUGUGAACAAGCUCCAUUUUAUCACAAUAUUUAUCUUUCGCUAAGGGAAACUUCUCUUAAUCUCUAAAUUUCUCUGUGAAAUGACGCUGUUGCCACACCAGUUCAGCUCAAUAGCUGUUUGGUUGGAUUUGGCAUAUUAGACUGUGUCAUAGCACCACUUCCUGUAUCAUAGGGUGUCUGCAGGAGCAUGAUGGCUGCACAGAACAGGAAGUGUUCAGGCCUCCAAACAGCCGUUAUCUUUUUCAUAACUGGGGCAUCUGUAUCUGUCUGUAGUCUCUGUACCAGUCUGCCCUCAAAUCCGUAGCCCCUGCUGCACCACUUUAACAGUGGUGGCAAAAUCACAGGGCAAUGUUUUAAUCUAUACUGAACAAUUUCAACAAUUUCAAAUAUUUACCUAGUUACAGUUCAUAUAAUGAAAUCGGUCAUUUGAAAUAAAUUCAUGAAU